GACGAACGCUGGCGGUAUGCUUAACACAUGCAAGUCGAACGAGAAGUCUUUUAUUGAACCUUCGGGGGAUAUAAGAGACAGACAGUGGCGAACGGGUGAGUAACGCGUGGGCAACCUACCUAUCGGAGCGGGAUAGCCUCGAGAAAUCGGGAGUAAAACCGCAUAACACGGAUAUAUCGCAUGAUGAAUCCGUCAAAACUCCGGUGCCGAUAGAUGGGCCCGCGUCUGAUUAGCUAGUUGGUAAGGUAAGGGCUUACCAAGGCAACGAUCAGUAGCCGGUCUGAGAGGGCGAACGGCCACACUGGAACUGAGACACGGUCCAGACUCCUACGGGAGGCAGCAGUGGGGAAUAUUGCGCAAUGGGGGCAAACCCCUGACGCAGCAAUACCGCGUGAA
rnacentral:rRNA from 1 species